GGAUGUGAGGGCGAUCUGGCUGCGACAUCUGUUACCCCAUUGAUCGCCAGGGUUGAUUCGGCUGAUCUGGCUGGCUAAGCGGGUGUCCCCUUCCUCCCUCACUGCUCCAUGUGCAUCCCUCCCCAAGCUGCGCACUCGGUUGAAGAGGACGGCUUUCCCCAAAUAGAGACGGACUGGUCUUCGGUCGAGGGUAUAGAAGUAGCUGUGCUCCCCUGCUAGAACCUCCAAAACAAGCUCUCGUUUUUCUAAACCUUUCUUCUUCAACUUUUUCAUUCUCUGAGAGUGUGAUAGUUUUGUCUUCUAGUUUUCUCAUCUAUCCUCAGGGUAGUUCAUUCUGG
ensembl:misc_RNA 7SK 7SK RNA